AACGCAACUGUAAAAGAAAAACUACAACUCACUUUUAAAAACUAUUAAGAUUUAAACAUAAUACUCGAGGAUUCUCUACUAUUUUAAAAGGAUCUUCAAAUUCAUUCCCGUUUGUUAAUCUAUUCUAUUUCUAUUAAAUAAAUUUAGAAGACAAAAAGAAAAGCAAAAGACUACAAAAUGGCUGCAUUUGUUGCUAAGCAGAUGAUCGGUAAUAAAAUGAGCGCUGUUAAAGGUAAGAGGAAACUGAAAUAAUACAAACAAUAUCUUUUUUUAAAUGCAGGUAAUCAAUAUUUUUUAGUAAAAUUAAAUAAAUAUUUUUCUAAUUCUUAUGUUUCCAAAAAAUAAAGUUAAAUAUGGGUAAAAAUUUCAAAUUCAUUUCGAAAAUAUUUGAAUUCCUAUAAAUAAUUUUCUAC